AGGUGGUGAGUCCUCCGAUAAAGGCAACGAAAUUGCAUCCGAGGACCAGUAGACAGAGUGCUUCGAAAGUCUGCAUUCUAGAUAUUGUGAGUAAACUUACUAUCAUUUUAAUUAUCUAGGGUGGUUUUUAGAUUCUUUCAUGAAUUCUAUGGAAAAAUAAAUUUAAAAAGGUAAAUUUUCAUGUUUUAUGAAUAAAUGAGUUUCAAUGAAAUUAAUUUAUAAAUUGUUUUGGAAUUAAUAAUGAUUUUGAAAAAUAGAGUACACGGAGACUAUUAAUUGUGGUAAUUUGAUUGUUUAAAUUGACUGGCUUAUGAUAAAUCGAGCAUGAUUGGCUAGUUGGCAAUUGUAUUGAAAUGCGAAUUGUUUGGUUGCCUUGAAAAACUGCGAAUUACAAAAUUACCAUAUCAUGUUAUUGAGUUUUAUUAUAUGGUGGAUUAUAUAUUAAUUAAUCACUGCAGUAGGGGGUUUCUGUGAACCAACCUUUUAGAGGGGCACGGUAAACCCCAUUAUAUUCUUACCUCGAAUGGAGAGGCGCGUAGGGUAUCUCCUGGGGCAAAGUUUAGGGUUCACUUCACGCUAAACCACCACGUGAGGGGGAACUCAGCCAACGCCAAGGAACAGUUAUGUUUUCAAAACAAAAACAUGAUUUAUGUGAAAUGUGAAUUUUAAUAGCCUUGGCGGUCUCGGUAGGAUGCCUCGGCCAAGGUGUCCCUGAGAAUGGAUUUAUGACAAAAGCCUAGAUUUUUAUGAGAUUCAUAAGCCUCUUUACGUGUUUUGAACAAAAUGUGUUCUAAUGCUAUAACCCAGUUUAUGAUGAUUUACUUUAUUGUCUCCAUGUACUCAACUCUAGAUGUUUAUGAUGAUGUCUGUUUACUCAUUGGGAUUUUAUAAUCUCACCACCCUCAUUUCCACCCAUUUCAGGUUCAAUAUAGACUGUAGAUAGCUGAUCUCAUCGAGGACUACCGUUGGAUCUGUAUUUUUUCAAACCGUAGGUUCACAGUCCUCUUUACUUUUGUUUAUUCAGGGGCCCUCUUGUUAUUGUAAAUUAAAUUAAAUAUUUUGGCUUACUGUAUUUAAGUAUGUAUAAAUUUAUUUAGCUUUUACGCUAUAAAAAUUAUUCACG
rnacentral:lncRNA from 1 species